CUUGGUCAUUUAGAGGAAGUAAAAGUCGUAACAAGGUUUCCGUAGGUGAACCUGCGGAAGGAUCAUUAAUGUAGACCGGGGGGACACCAAUCGGUCCCUCCUCUUCAUCCCACCCCUCAUGUGAACCAUGGCGUGGCGUUUCAGUAGCGGGGCUUGAUCGCCCUUCGAAAGCCGCUCGCAUCUUUAUAAUAUACCCUUACAAAAGUCUCGGAAUGAAACCCUGCGUUAACCGCAAAAAAAAUACAACUUUCAGCAACGGAUCUCUUGGCUCUCGCAUCGAUGAAGAACGCAGCGAAAUGCGAUAAGUAAUGUGAAUUGCAGAAUUCAGUGAAUCAUCGAAUCUUUGAACGCACCUUGCGCUCUCUGGUAUUCCGGAGAGCACGCCUGUUCGAGUGUCAUGAAACUCUCAAGCAAGAAUUAAGCUUUAUUGCUUGAUUCUUGAUUGGAUUUGGACUCUUGCCGCGUUAUUGCGGCUGGUCUUAAAAGUAUUAGCUGGUCUGUAAGAAAUCUUUGGGUUUGACUUGGCGUAAUAAUCUUAUUCGCUGAGGACACUUCGGUGGCCUAAUUUCUUUACUGGACUGCUUCUAAUCGUCUCCUUUGUGAGACAACUUUCAUUCAAUCUGACCUCGAAUCAGGUGGGACUACCCGCUGAACUUAAGCAUAUCAAUAAGCGGAGGAAAAGAAACUAACAAGGAUUCCCCUAGUAACGGCGAGUGAAGCGGGAUGAGCUCAAAUUUAAAAUCUGGUGGUCUUUGGCCAUCCGAGUCGUAAUCUAGAGAAGUGUUUUCCGUGCUGGACCGUGUACAAGUUUCCUGGAACGGAACGUCAUAGAGGGUGAGAAUCCCGUCCUUGACACGGACUACCAGUGCUUUGUGAUACACUCUCAACGAGUCGAGUUGUUUGGGAUUGCAGCUCAAAAUGGGAGGUAAAUUCCUUCUAAAGCUAAAUAUUGGCGAGAGACCGAUAGCGAACAAGUACCGUGAGGGAAAGAUGAAAAGCACUUUGGAAAGAGAGUUAAACAGUACGUGAAAUUGUUAAAAGGGAAACGCUUGAAGU
rnacentral:rRNA from 1 species